GGCGACAUAGCCAAGUGGUAAGGCAGUGGAUUGCAAAUCCUUGAGCCCCAGUUCAAAUCUGGGUGUCGCCU
rnacentral:tRNA from 1 species